rnacentral:rRNA from 1 species
UACAGAGGAGCCAAGCGUUAUCCGAAUUCACUGGGCGUAAAGCGCGUGCAGGCGGUUCGGUAAGUUGGAUGUGAAAUCUCCUGGCUCAACUGGGAGAGGACGUUCAAGACUGUCGGACUAGAGGACGGUAGAGGAAGGUAGAAUUCCCGGUGUAGUGGUGAAAUGCGUAGAUAUCGGGAGGAAUACCAGUGGCGAAGGCGGCCUUCUGGGCCGUUCCUGACGCUCAGACGCGAAAGCUAGGGGAGCAAACGGG